UAUUUUCUGAAGUAUUCGCCAAGCUCUUAUCUUGAACCUACAGUUUUAAAACGGGAGUUCAAUAUAAGAGUAUAGAUAUGGAUUUCUCGUAGUAGAGAAAAGAUAGAAGUACUUUUGAGGACACCCACCUAUCAGCGGAUAGGUUGUCAACGAAAGAGCAGCGGUAUUUUGGAUGUAUA
rnacentral:other from 1 species